AUUGACCUCGGAUCAGCUAGGGAUACCCGCUGAACUUAAGCAUAUCAAU
rnacentral:rRNA from 1 species